AGCGAACGUUAGCGGCGGGCCUAACACAUGCAAGUCGAGCGAGAAAAGGGCUUCGGCCCUGAGUAGAGCGGCAGACGGGUGAGGAACACGUAGGUAACCUUCCUUCCAGCGGAGGACAACGGUCCGAAAGGACCGCUAAUACUGCAUACGUUCCCCGGGAAUCCGUUCCUGGGGCGGAAAGCCUCGCAAGGGGCACUGGAAGCGGGGCCUGCGUCGCAUCAGCUAGUUGGUGGGGUAACGGCCUACCAAGGCGAAGACGCGUAGCUGGUCUGAGAGGAUGAUCAGCCACACUGGGACUGAGACACGGCCCAGACUCCUACGGGAGGCAGCAGUGGGGAAUAUUGGACAAUGGGGGCAACCCUGAUCCAGCCACGCCGCGUGAGUGAUGAAGGCCUUCGGGUCGUAAAGCUCUGUGGGGAGGGACGAACGUCCCGUUGAAGAAACGGGGGUGACGGUACCUCCUUAGCAAGCACCGGCUAACUUCGUGCCAGCCGCCGCAGUAACAC
rnacentral:rRNA from 1 species